CUAUUAAUGGAGAUUAAUUGUAUUCAAAUUAGCAAGAAUUUUGAUGUGGUAAAGGAAAUGAAUUUUGGCAUGAAAUGUUAAAGGAGAAAGAAAUAUAUAUUAAAGGGAGGAGGAAAAAUAAAUGAAGAAAUGGUGGAUUAUAUUAUAUUAUUCUGUGUAGGUUUUGGAAAGAUGUUUUAAAGUUAUUGUGAUAUGUGGUAAAUGGUUG
rnacentral:misc_RNA from 1 species